CAGUGGGGAAUAUUGGACAAUGGGCGCAAGCCUGAUCCAGCCAUGCCGCGUGAGUGAUGAAGGUCUUAGGAUUGUAAAGCUCUUUCACCGAUGAAGAUAAUGACGGUAGUCGGAGAAGAAGCCCCGGCUAACUUCGUGCCAGCAGCCGCGGUAAUACGAAGGGGGCUAGCGUUGUUCGGAAUUACUGGGCGUAAAGCGCACGUAGGCGGGUAUUUAAGUCAGGGGUGAAAUCCCGCAGCUCAACUGCGGAACUGCCUUUGAUACUGGGUAUCUUGAGUAUGGAAGAGGUAAGUGGAAUUGCGAGUGUAGAGGUGAAAUUCGUAGAUAUUCGCAGGAACACCAGUGGCGAAGGCGGCUUACUGGUCCAUUACUGACGCUGAGGUGCGAAAGCGUGGGGAGCAAACAGGAUU
rnacentral:rRNA from 1 species